rnacentral:rRNA from 1 species
GAUGAACGCUGGCGGCGUGCCUAAUACAUGCAAGUCGAGCGAACGGACGAGAAGCUUGCUUCUCUGAUGUUAGCGGCGGACGGGUGAGUAACACGUGGAUAACCUACCUAUAAGACUGGGAUAACUUCGGGAAACCGGAGCUAAUACCGGAUAAUAUUUUGAACCGCAUGGUUCAAAAGUGAAAGACGGUCUUGCUGUCACUUAUAGAUGGAUCCGCGCUGCAUUAGCUAGUUGGUAAGGUAACGGCUUACCAAGGCAACGAUGCAUAGCCGACCUGAGAGGGUGAUCGGCCACACUGGAACUGAGACACGGUCCAGACUCCUACGGGAGGCAGCAGUAGGGAAUCUUCCGCAAUGGGCGAAAGCCUGACGGAGCAACGCCGCGUGAGUGAUGAAGGUCUUCGGAUCGUAAAACUCUGUUAUUAGGGAAGAACAUAUGUGUAAGUAACUGUGCACAUCUUGACGGUACCUAAUCAGAAAGCCACGGCUAACUACGUGCCAGCAGCCGCGGUAAUACGUAGGUGGCAAGCGUUAUCCGGAAUUAUUGGGCGUAAAGCGCGCGUAGGCGGUUUUUUAAGUCUGAUGUNGAAGCCCACGGCUCAACCGUGGGAGGGUCAUUGGGAACUGGAAAACUUGAGUGCAGAAGAGGAAAGUGGAAUUCCAUGUGUAGCGGUGAAAUGCGCAGAGAUAUGGAGGAACACCAGUGGCGAAGGCGACUUUCUGGUCUGUAACUGACGCUGAUGUGCGAAAGCGUGGGGAUCAAACAGGAUUAGAUACCCUGGUAGUCCACGCCGUAAACGAUGAGUGCUAAGUGUUAGGGGGUUUCCGCCCCUUAGUGCUGCAGCUAACGCAUUAAGCACUCCGCCUGGGGAGUACGACCGCAAGGUUGAAACUCAAAGGAAUUGACGGGGACCCGCACAAGCGGUGGAGCAUGUGGUUUAAUUCGAAGCAACGCGAAGAACCUUACCAAAUCUUGACAUCCUUUGACAACUCUAGAGAUAGAGCCUUCCCCUUCGGGGGACAAAGUGACAGGUGGUGCAUGGUUGUCGUCAGCUCGUGUCGUGAGAUGUUGGGUUAAGUCCCGCAACGAGCGCAACCCUUAAGCUUAGUUGCCAUCAUUAAGUUGGGCACUCUAAGUUGACUGCCGGUGACAAACCGGAGGAAGGUGGGGAUGACGUCAAAUCAUCAUGCCCCUUAUGAUUUGGGCUACACACGUGCUACAAUGGACAAUACAAAGGGCAGCGAAACCGCGAGGUCAAGCAAAUCCCAUAAAGUUGUUCUCAGUUCGGAUUGUAGUCUGCAACUCGACUACAUGAAGCUGGAAUCGCUAGUAAUCGUAGAUCAGCAUGCUACGGUGAAUACGUUCCCGGGUCU